ensembl:antisense 9430041J12Rik RIKEN cDNA 9430041J12 gene
ACCACCAGCCUCACCCUCCUGGGACCCAGGCCUGUUGUCUUCCUUAGCCUGGAACCUAACCACAUUUCUAUCCCAACCCUCUCUGGCACCCUAACAACCCCUUCCCUCCUGGGACAGGCUGAAGGCACCUUGAAUCCUCAUCUUACCUCAGCUGGUUUCCCCAGCCCUGAUCUCUGUUCCCUAUUUGAGGAUAUCAAUCCUUCCCAGACCUCGGCUGCCUCCCCUGCCUUCCCUCUCUCAGUCCUUUCUCUACCCCCACCCCCCCGCCAAAAAAAAAUUUUUUUUUAAUUUAAUCUGGGACAUAUUUACUAGUCGGGAUUCUGUGGGGGCGGGGUCCUUCUCGCCUGGGACCUCAAGAGCGGACCUUUCCUUAGAUGACCCUAAAGACUGGCUUUCCAGGCAGGUCUCAGAAACCCAAAUGCUGGGCCCCCAUCUCCUCCCAUUCAGGAUUCUUGGAAGUCUAGGAUCCCAGCUCUCCUUAUCUGGGAAGAGAGGGGUCUGCACCCCCAGCGCACGUCCUAGGGGAACCUCAAGGAGAUGACUGGAGAAAAGUGAGGUCACAAUGGUGGGCUCUAACACGACUGGAGUCCUUGUCAAAAGAGAUUAAGGACCAGUGAGAUGGCUCAUCAAGGAAAGGGGAGCAUGAAUACAGUUCCUCACUACCACCAAAUAUGCAGUUGAGUUUCCUGAAUUUGGGGAAACUGUAGGGGUCAGAAUAUCAAGAUGUUCUGGAUGUGAUGGAUAAGCCUCACCCCGGGGAAAACGACCUUUGUGAUUAUGGUGUCUCUUCUUCUAGGUUCAUUGAAGAAUGCAAUGAAAUCAUUUUUAAAGAAGUGUGCUAGGCCUGAUGACACAUGCCUUUAAUCUCAGUCCUUGGGAGGCAGAGGCAAAUGGAUGUCUAACCUGUUGACUGGCUGAAUGGGCUUGGUCAGCCAUAAACAGGACAUCUCUAUCACACUCAUUCUCCAAGGCCAAAGGGAUCAUCAUCAUGCAGAAGGAGAGAGGCUGAUUCUGAGAGCCAGAGGCCAGGAAUGGAAAUCAUGUCUGUUUCACAAAGUUGUUUAAAACCGUCUUGCAAGCCUACCUCUGUUUCAAUAAGGUAAUGGCAGAAUUGACUCAACUCUCAGAGCAGUGACUUUCCUAACUCCUGGCUAUGGUCGAGUUGCUUCAGUGUCGCCAGCUUUCCUGUUGCUUUCUCCUGGGCCAGCUCACCACUUCUCAAACUACACACUUUUGCAACAGCAGCAAGAUCUUCCUGACAUCUUCCUCAAGCCCAAGUUUUGGUUGUAGUUUAUCUUAUUUUACUUUAGUUUUGCCUUGGACCACGGAAUGGAUAUCUUUUCCAUCAGUGAACAGGCUGCAUCUUCCACUGUGGCUCACUGCAUGCUUGAAGGACAGCCAUUAGUCUGUAACACUGUGCAGUGUUGUCCUUCAGGUAGCUGCCACAAAGAUAACUCUAUUCUCUUCUCAGGCUAAGCUAUGGACUCUCCCCUUCUGAGCAGGCGGGGGCACCCUGGGUACCCCCCUUCUGACAUUUCAAGUCUUUGUGAGGCUAGGCACUUCCUCUCCCACUGAGGCCAAACAAGACAGCCCAAGCCGUGCCCUCAUAACCGAUUCCCACCAGUGGAACGUGAGCAGGAGUGACUUGUGCCAUUUCAGUGUUCUAAGAGAGAAAUGCUGGACGGGUGCAGGGGGAGAGGAAUCCGUAUCCACUGCAGUGAGAAUAGCAAUUUGUGAAAUCACCAUGGAAAUCAAUAUGGAGGUACCCCCACAGUCCCCCCCAAAAAAACCCUAAACAUAAAAUGGCUAUUUGAUCCAGCUAUACCACUCCUGGCUAUAUGGCCAAAGGAAUCAAAGUCACCAUGCUACAGAAAUUCCUGCACAUGUAUGUUUACUAUAGCACUAUUUACAACAGCCACGUUGUGGAAAAAAGCUAGGUGUCCACCAGUGGAUGAAUGGAUAAAGAAAAUAUGGCACAUAAACAAAGUGGAAUUUUUACCUAGCCAUAAAGAGGAAUAAAUUUGUGGCAUUGUCAGGAAAAUGAAUGGAACUGGGGAUCAUUGUAUUCAGGGAAAUAAGAUAGACCCAGAAAAACAAAUAUAAAAUAAAAUAUAUGUAAAUAC